UGUAAAAAAAUAGAAGAUUUUAGUUUCUUCUGAAUGACUUUUGUUUUGUUUAUCGACAGAAUACUUUUGUCAUCGCCAAUCAGCUGUAAAUUGUAAUAUGCAAACGAAAAUGGAUAAUGCCAAUGAGCGCAAACUAAUAAAUAAACGAAUUUUAGAAUUUUAUGUGUGUUACAACAAAUUCCCAAAUACAGAAAUAUGGAAAUAUUUAUGCUCUGAUUGGACAUUAAAUUUUAAAAGAGUGUAUGAAUUAUAUGAAGAUAAUUUGAAGCCCGGUGUAACAGAUUAUAGAUAUGAGGAGUACCUAGUCUGUUUUCGAAAGCUGCAGCCGAUAUUCGAAGGUAUUCACUUCUUGUACUUCAAUGCUCAAUUGGAUUUAAAAAAGUUAAAUGUUGACUGGCUUGGAGGCAAUGGCAAAUAUUUGUUAGAAUUUUUGGAAUCAAAUGAAAUCGCUGAAACAUUAAGCGUAGAAAAAACUCUAGUUUUAACAUCACUUCUGGAAAAUGCGUUGGCAAAUUUGUACUUUGUUAGCAGUGGGAAUUGUACACCACCACAUUUGUUGCGGGACUUAUUACGCACAGAAGAACUCGGCAGUAUAUUCGGAUUAGAAAUAAUGUCCUUAUUAAGAAUAAUUAUGGGUUCGCCCAAUGCAAUAAAUCUGCGAAACAUUGUUUGGCAUGGCUUUCCACAUCCUAAAGAAAUACCAAAUUAUUAUACCUCAAUACUAAUAAUCAUUAUACACAGUUUGGGCUCUGUGCUGAAAAAAAACAAAAUUGAUAAGUUGUCUGAACGUCCGAAAGCUACAGACCUUAAAAUAUUAUGUGAUCAGGUUUCAAAUCAACUUUCAUUACCUUCAAAAUCGUUAAAAGAGAGUGAAUACUUUGAACAAAUAAGAGAUAAUGUGUUACUUCCCAAAGAUUUUAAACAGUACUGGUAUAGACUAUUGCAAUAUUAUGAAAGACAACAGCAUUGGAAUUUCGUAAUAUUGAUCAUACCUCAAAUCGAAUUAUUACUAAGGCUGAUAUAUGCAGAAGCAAAUGAUUUAGAUGUUACUGCCAAGUUGGAUGAGUACUAUAUCACAAUGGAUUCAAUAUUUGAAUGUAACGUUAUUACUGAGGAUACUAAUAGUGAAAACAAACUAAUGAAUGGAGAUGUACUAAAUGAGGGCAUGCUCAAACUUACAUAUGAUUUGUUUAUAGCUCCAAAUGGACCACGUAUGCGAGAUAAAAUUAGUCAUGGUGAAGUUGAUAUUGCUGCUAUAGAUUAUACGGAAUUGUGUGACAUUCUGCUUCAUCUGUCCAUGGGCUUAUUACAUUUUGAGCAGCCGUUUCAAAAAUAUGAAAGUAUUUUUCAUUUAAAUUGCAUAACAAAAAAUGCUUUGCAUACAGCAAUAGAGGAAUAUGAAAAGCUGACUGAAAAACAUUUAAUGAACAGAAAUGCUCACGAUUUAAGUUUUAUAAGCGAGAAAACAGCGCCCACAAAUAUAAAAAUAUUUAAUCGCCCAAAAAAGGAAUCGGAAGUAAAUCUUUUGGUGUUAAGAAAUGCAAAAUUUGUGCAAAUGUCUUGUGCAAACUAUGAAUAUUCCAUUGAAACUAAAUUAAAGCUGUUGCAACAACGUGAAUUGCAUUCUAAAAGACGACGCACUUUGGAGCGAUUGCUGGAAACUCUGCCAAAUAUUUGUAAUGUGUUGAGAGAAAUCUUGACUUGUCUCAUGUGUAUAUUUAGCAAGCUGCAAACUGAUGAUUCAGUUCUUCAAAAGGAAGGGACUUCUAAAACCCUGUUAAGAUUUUUAAAGCACACCUUAAAGUUGACUGAAAAUAUCGCCAAAUAUUCCAAAGAGAGCAGCAACGAAUGGAUUAAAGCGGUUCAAUUGUGUACGAAGUUUACUGAAGUAAAACUACAAUAUUAUCAAAAAGAAUACUUCUAAUUGUGGACUUUCCGUGGGCGUAUGUAUGUAUUUCAGUUAAAUCAAUCUGUUGCAAAAAUUUGUGUGGUUUAAUAAUUAAUGUAAGUAUCUGCACUCGUAUGUACAAAUGUUUUUGUAAUUUGAUAAUUUCUUGGCAUUUUACGCUUACGUGUUUCCCCAUCAUUUAAACUUGUCUAUCAUCUCGGAUAUUUCUGGGGCAAUUACCAUUGCAGUAAAUUUGAUAAACAAAUGAGCGACAAAGCUGUAAAAGAUAUUUGUAGUAAUAGUUUUAACUGUACAAAUUUAUAUAUUUAUGAAUGUGGCAUCAAUCCAUUUUUUUUUUUUUUUGCAUUCAUGUGUGUCCCCGUUAAGUUCAUAGACAUAUGUAUUAUAUGUAUUCAUAUGUAUGUAUAUGCAUGCGUAUGAAUCUUUAUGUGUAAUUGUAUGCCUGCAUUCACUUGAUUUUUAUUGAAGACUUGCCUUGGCCAUAACUUAUGACAAAUGAAUGAAAUGUUAGCACUAGUGGCAUAGACAGAGUGCCACAUUUAACGUUCCCACCAUUAAAUCGAUGUCACGCAUGCCGGUGCAAAAUAUGGGCAAAACAUUUCAUUACUGUUGUUUUUGUUUUAGUUGCUUUAUGGCAUACAUGUCAAAAAACUAGUAGCAAUAUGGUCGGAUCAUUCUGUACAGUGAGUACGAUUUAUGCAAAUUCUUGAACUACGAGAAUAUAUCACUUUGAAAUGUUCUGAUAUUUUGCAAAAGUUCGGGGCGAAUACAUAGGCCUCAAAAGUAUACAUAACAAAGAAAUUGAAAUUAUUCUUACAAAUUUAAUCAAAAAAGACUAAAUUCCAUUAGUGAUUAACGAAUCUAGCUAGUUUCUAGUUCGAGUCUAACCUAAAAUAAUUUUUUGACAAGAAUGCUUCCAAUUUGCCAUUGGGUGCGCAUAUUCACAAGAGCCUGUAAACCUAGACUGAGCGGUAUGGCUUUUUAGUGAUGCGUAAACACUUACGUACGUACUAUAUGUACAUAUGUAUGUGCGCAUGAAGUUUUAUCGCGCUUGAGUGAUUUCGAACAGAAAGAGCGGAUCUGUUUUACUGAAAUGUCGCAUGAUUGUUAAAUUGUUGUUGCUGUGGUUCCGGGAGUGCAACCCACUUUUGUGGCGAAGCUAGCGGGAAGGUGUUGUUGUGGAUUCCGAUGCGAGAGCUCAGUUUUUCUGAUCGUUCGACGAUAAGCGACACAGUUGUGUUUUCUAUAUGCCGGAUCGCACAAAGGCCAUUACAAAUAUACAUAUGUACUUUGGUGCUACAAAUGAUUUUUGGGGAUGCCUUGUAUUGAAUUUCCGCUGAGCACUGCAGUCGCUUUUCAGAACCUGAAUCGAGUGGUUGAUUACGCUGCUCGCUGAGCUGCUGAUAUAGGAUAGUCUGAAAGAGUGCAAAUUUUUAAAGUCUAAGACAAACGCAAAAUAAGCUCAAAAGCAUAAAUAUUUUCAACUUCCUCGAACACAUUUUUUGCUCAUCUUACAGGGAGGUCACAAAAUAUAGCUUGAAUAUGCAUGGUCCUCCAACUAAGCUAUGGGUGCUGGUGUAUCCUGUAUUUGCGAGUUCCUGUAUUCUUCUGGGAUGUGCUAUGCAAAUACCUCAGGAUGUUGAAAUACUUGAAGGAUUCGAGUUCGACGAGAGCCCAGAAUACUACUCCACUGAUUCAAACUACUACGAGGCCAGAAGCUUGCUAUCCGGCUUCCAUAAAGCUAUCCGCAAUAAACGCUCAACAU